rnacentral:rRNA from 1 species
AUUGAACGCUGGCGGCAUGCCUUACACAUGCAAGUCGAACGGUAACAGGUCUUCGGAUGCUGACGAGUGGCGGACGGGUGAGUAAUACAUCGGAACGUGCCCGAUCGUGGGGGAUAACGCAGCGAAAGCUGUGCUAAUACCGCAUACGAUCUACGGAUGAAAGCGGGGGAUCGCAAGACCUCGCGCGGACGGAGCGGCCGAUGGCAGAUUAGGUAGUUGGUGGGGUAAAGGCUCACCAAGCCUGCGAUCUGUAGCUGGUCUGAGAGGACGACCAGCCACACUGGGACUGAGACACGGCCCAGACUCCUACGGGGGGCAGCAGUGGGGAAUUUUGGACAAUGGGCGCAAGCCUGAUCCAGCCAUGCCGCGUGCAGGAUGAAGGCCUUCGGGUUGUAAACUGCUUUUGUACGGAACGAAAAGGUUCUUUCUAAUAAAGAGAGCUCAUGACGGUACCGUAAGAAUAAGCACCGGCUAACUACGUGCCAGCCGCCGCCGUAAGAC